CUCGCACAUUCCUCCGCGCCGCGUUAACCCCUCCGGCACCGCGGCCCCCCGCGCCGCCCCGCCGCGCGCCGCUGCCCGAACCGUCCCCUUCCCAGCGCUCCCCGGGCAGAGGUUAAAAGCCUAAUGUAUUAUUAUAAAGCCCCAAAGAAAAAGCCUCGCGUUCGCCCCUAUAAAUCUUCCUAACGGCCUCGGCACAUGUGGGAGCCAGACGAUGCCCCCGCCUCCCUCCCGGGCUCCCCUGCCCUCCGCGUGCUCGGGGCCGGGCGGCCGCGGGGAGCGGGCGAAGGGCGGCCCGGGGGCAGGCAGGGCUCUGCCCGGUGCCCCGGCUCCCCCUGCUCCCCUGCCCCCCGCCGCGGGAGGAAGAGGAGGAGGAGGAGGGGGGAGGAUGCUUCCGACCGCAGGGCCCGCUGCGUUGCCCGGGGGGGCGGCGGAUGGGAGACCCUUUCGGGUGCCCCGGGGAGCCGCGGGACAGGCAGCGGCAUCCCAAAUCUGCCCCCUUCCCCUCUGCGCCUUCUCGCUUCUACUUUCUCUCUUUAACUCAAGCAAGACCUCAGGAACCAAAUUAUUUCUAGUGUAAAUAACGCGGCUCCGGCGGGUCCGUGCCGGCGACGCCGGACCACCGGCUGUUUGAUCAAUGGAGCAAUGCCAAAGUUUCCGGAGAUCAAAGUGAAACCAGUGUCCAGAGUUGACGGAGACAAUAAAACGGAAGAAAGAAAGAGAAAGGGGGGAAGGAGAGCGGGCUGCGACGGGAAGGUUGCGCUCCCGAGCGCGGCGCGCCGGAGGAUGCUGCGGGCUCGGCACAGGCUGCAACGUGCCCUCUGGUGGCUGCAUCCGCUGCCGGGCUGGGGCCGGAUCCGGCUCUGCCGGAGGGCAGCAUCCCGGGAUGCGCGGGAAGAGAAGGGGGCCGACGCUGGGGAGCGCGUGGAGACGCGCCGGGGCGAGGAGAGGCGCUGGCCGCCCGGCAGGUCGGCGUUACGGGCGUCCCGGCCGGGGCAGCCGCCGCUUCACAUGCUGCUGCUCUCUUUGCAGGCAAAGAGCCGCCGGGCUCGCUCGCAGGGCGAAGCCCUUCCCUUCUCCAUGGAGCAAAACUCCCCUGGAAAGUCAGCCCCGACGCCUGGGGACACCGGGCACAAGCUCAUCCCAAGGGAGGGAGCCGCAAACGGAGCAUGUGCCCCCGUCUGAGUGACGUUUCCAUCGGUUUCAAUUAACUGGGGUUGUUUUUUUCCUGCUUUCUUUGCAUCCUCCACAUUUUCCCCCAGACUUCAAGCAAGCCUGAAAUCUCCAACCAAACAGAGGCCUAUAAAUCACAGCCAUUUCCCAAGCUUUUGCAUGUGAGCCAAGAGAAGCCACUGAUUUAUUCUUAUUUUUGAAGCAAAACAGUAUGGGGCCAACAUUUGCUGGAAAGCAGGGACAGGCCCAGACCAGCACAAACAGCUAUCGCGACUCCUUCAAAAUUCAAGCUCCAGAUCCAAGAGCCCCCGUCCAAAGAGCAGAGUCGCCUGGGAAAGGGGGGCUCCUCCUCCUCGCUCCGGUGGGGACUGUCCGGCUGGGCCUGACGCGCGUAGCGCCAGCACCAAAAUGCUCAGAAACGGCUUUGUCAGCCCAAAAGUCACAAUUUCAAGGUCUUUAAAGAAACCAGGUGAGCUGGCAAAGGAGAAAAGAGACGAGUCCUUCACGCAGCUCGUGCACCUCUGCUGAGCCCAGCGGAGAGGAGAGGAGCGGCUCCCAUCGCAUCUCGCCUCUCCCCUCCAGCAGAGCUGCCUUUACCUCCCCUGCUUUAAAUGCCCAGCGCGGUGCGAAAGUGUCUUUCUCACCUGGAUGUGCUGAGCAGGCUCUUUCCGAGAAGAAAGGGCUGCAAACAAACAAAACAGCGGGAUUUGUCUGUGAACAAACUGUGAACUGCGACGGAGUGUCUUUCAACCCCAAAUCCACCUAAGCGCCGCGCGCCAGCCGCGGAUCGAUGGCGCUGAUCAAAAAAAUGAAUAUUUGCUUCAAGGGCUCGCCAGAAAUCCCCAAGACACUGGUUAUUUGGUAACUUAUUCUGUAAACAUCCCGGGCUGGCUCACUCAACUUGCACAAGGUAUUUGCUCUCUGGUCGUUGCUCUGCUGCCUUAAGUCCGUCCCUGAGCUUUGCCAUCCAGCUCCUCUCCCCUCCCUGCCUUGGGCUAAGCUGGGCUCAGCGGCAGCAGCGGAGCAGAUUUGGGGGCUGGGACAGCGGCUUGGUUCUGACUGCUCGAUUUGGGCAGAUGUAGGACUUUAAUCCUGACCAUCAGGAAACCGGGGCCCGCGUCUCCCCACCUAAGGCAGCGAGCUUAAAAAUCACCACGAAAAAGCGGUGUUUACCUUCUGGGUUUCACAUUGCUCCAGUUCAUAUUUUUGAGCUUUAUCUCAGCCACAAGGGCAGGAAAAUAUUUCUUUAUAUAGAAAAGGAAAGAGACCAGAUUUUCACAUAACCACAUGAUUCCUGAGACUUUAUAAAUCUCCAAAUUUUGGGAGUCUCACAACAAAAAUCCUAAGGGCUGGUAAGAUGUUGGGCUGCUCAGUUUGGCGAGUCAGUGGGGCCGAGCUCAGGGGAGCCCCCACGGCAAGGUCUGACCCCAGGUUUUACCCAAGUCACAGGGCGGGUUUGCAGCCGGGGCUUUGGUCUUGCCUUGCUCCUUAGAAGAGCCAAAUAAAUCCAUUGCACCAGCCCACGUGAACUGCCAGCGAGCCCUGGGUUCGGAGGCGUCAACAAAACCAACCCACCAGGGUUUAGGUAAGUUCUUGCUCCCUGUUUUUCCCUCCCAGCUCACUUUGGAUGGGCGCAGGCUUCCCGUCCCCGUCCUGCUUUCAUCCGAGGGCAGCAGGCCCCUGCCCAUCGCUUCGGCGGGCGUCAGCUCUGUCCAGCUCCGGGGACAACCCCGCUGAGGUGACCCAGGCCCAGGUCUCCCCACACGUGUCCUCCUUCCCCAGCUGCGGACCAGGUCCCGGAAAAGACUUGGAGACUGCAACCAAGGGCAAACGGCUUAUUGCCCUCUGAGCCCGGCGCUAAAUCCAUCGAUAUCAGCGCCGUGGCUUAGCCGAUCUCGAGAAAUAAGUGAAUCCCCCGCGCCGUCUGACAGGCGGGUAGACAUUAAUAAUUAUGUACUAUUUAAGGCUGAUUGAAAAUGAAGAGGUGGAGGUGUUGGGACAGAUGUGGCAGUGCCAGAUGGAUUGUGAUUAGAUUAGCACCGUUCCAUUUGACGGGAUCUGAACCAUGCUUUAAUCAUUUAUUGUGAAAGCUCAGCACCGCGCAGGCACGCGGGCGCGCGCCGCCCUCCCUGUUGCUCCGCUCUUGCGACAUUUGUUAGUUUGGAUCGCCCUGCUACGAGUUGUCUUCGCUUGAAACGUGUUGUGUUUACAGCCGGUAUUUCAAACCCCGAUCCCUCCCCUCUGCCUCUCAUCUCCUUGUUUGUACAAAGCCUCCUACAAGCGCCGAGCUGAGCCUGUUAGUCACCGCCGCCGUAUAAACAACACGCACGAACAGUCAUCUCCUCGGCCACGGAGCGAGUCACGUCAGGGGUGAGAGGACCCUGGCCAAAGAAGGGCCCAAGGGGCGAGACCCAGCGCCGGUGGUCCAGGAGCCCUCGGAGCAGCGUUUCUGCCCCUGCUAAUGCUCCGCAGCCGGAUUCGGGGUGUGCGGAGCCCACUGCACCCCCACGGCACCCGGCCUUCGGUGGGGACCCCGCUCGACCUUACCUGGCCGCUUUGCAUCGAACGCACCAAAAGCGCUUUGCCAGACCGGGCUGCAAGGCAGAAGAUGGCGGCUGCGCGGCAGUCCAGGAGGAAAGGGAAAAAUAAAAUAAAAUAAAAUAAAAUAAAAUGCCAGUA